rfam:Gossypium arboreum cultivar AKA8401 contig_27813_1, whole genome shotgun sequence.
AUCCCGUGGUGAGGGCAUUUGUGUAAUAGUUUCUUAAAUCACUCCCACGCCUCGUAGAUGGAUUCAUUGUCCAUCUGUUGGAAAGUGGUAAUCUCAUUCCUCGGCU